GAAGGCACGACAUUGCUCACAUUGCUUCCCGUGUUUUCUAGCCAGCCGAGUGCUGGCUUCUUUUU
rnacentral:antisense_RNA from 1 species